rnacentral:rRNA from 1 species
GACGAACGCUGGCGGCGUGCUUAACACAUGCAAGUCGAACGGAAAGGCCCUGCUUUUGUGGGGUGCUCGAGUGGCGAACGGGUGAGUAACACGUGAGUAACCUGCCCUUGACUUUGGGAUAACUUCAGGAAACUGGGGCUAAUACCGCAUAGGAGCUCCUGCUGCAUGGUGUUGGUUGGAAAGUUUCGGCGGCUGGGGUUGGACUCGCGGCUUAUCAGCUUGUUGGUGGGGUAGUGGCUUAGCCAGGCUUUGACGGGUAGCCGGCCUGAGAGGGUGACCGGCCACAUUGGGACUGGGAUACGGCCCAGACUCCUACGGGAGGCAGCAGUGGGGAAUAUUGCACGAUGCGCGGAAGCCUGAUGCAGCAACGCCGCGUGCGGGAUGACGGCCUUCGGGUUGGAAACCGCUUUCGCCUGUGACGAAGCGUGAGUGACGGUAAUGGGUAAAGAAGCACCGGCUAACUACGUG